GUGAAGAAGAUGGAGAACAAGGUGUGAGCAAGUGUAAGUCCAUAGUGAAAUUGAAGCCUUUGCCGGGAGCGGGGCCGGUGAAGCUGAGCUUCUGCUUCUCCUCGUCGAGCACCACCAGCCUGCACUCCAUCUGGAAGACUGGAACCCUCUGAUCACCGCAGGGAUGAUGUGCGGCAAGAGAUCAAUUUCGCGGUCGAGUGGAGCUAACCCCUGCAAUUGACUCCUUAAAACCGUGCACGAGUUUGGGCCUGCCUUUUCUUCUGGACGUGGUCGGUACUUCAGCCCUUAAAGUUUGGGCCUACCUUUUCUGUUGGAUCUCUCGUAGUGCUGGAUUCUUACAUGUUUUUUUUAACCCUUGGAUCAAGGUACUCCUUUGUUUUUUUAGUCCGCACUCCAUAGGAUCAAUGAAAAAGUACCAAAUUAUACGGACCA